CUCAAUGAAAUUAAAUAGCCGCAAUAUUUUGUGCUAAGGUAGCAUAAUCAUUUGUCUUUUAAUUAAAGACUAGAACGAAAGAUUCAAUAUUUUUAUUUCUUUCUAAUAUAUAAUUAUUUAAUUUAUUUCAAAUAUAAAAAAAUAUUUAUUUUUAAAGAAGACGAUAAGACCCUAUUGAACUUAACUAAAGUUAAACUGGGGUAGUUAAUUAAAUACAAUUUUAAUUUAAAUUUUAAAAACACCUAAUAUAAUUAAAAUUAUUAAGUUACCAUAGGGAUAACAGCGUAAUAAUUUUCCUAAGUUCUUAUUAAAAAAAUUGUUUGCGACCUCGAUGUUGAAUUAAUAAUCUAUUAAAUGCAAUAAUUUAAUAAGAAAGUCUGUUCGACUU
rnacentral:rRNA from 1 species